rnacentral:lncRNA from 1 species
UUCAUGCAGUCACCCUCUGAUAUGGUUUGGCUGUGUCCACACCAUAUCUCAACUUGAAUUGUAUCUCCCAGGAUUCCUGCAUGUUGUGGGAGGGACCCAGUGGGAGGUAACGGAAUCACGGGGGCUGGUCUUUCCUGUGCUAGUCUCGUGAUAGUGAAUAAAUCUCACGAGAUCUGAUGGGUUUAUCCGGUGUUUCUGCUUUUGCUUCCUCCUCAUUUUUCUCUUGCUGCCACCACGUGAGAAGUGCCUUUCGCCUCCCGCCAUGAUUCUGAGGCCUCCCUAGCCAUGGGGACCUGUCGUCGCUGCCCUCAGCCUCCAGAUGCAGCCCCCCUGCCACCUUCAGGACCCCUGGCUCUCCCCUGGACUCAGUAGCGAAAGGGUUUAUGUGCUCGGAGGGAGACCUUCAGGAAUCUGUGCAUAGAAUGCCAUAGUGCAGAGGAAACAGCCCCAGAAAAUGGAACAGCUGCUAAGUGAGACUCCUCAGCCAGGCCAGAGAAUGUGCAUUCUGACGGACUGCUUCUCAUUUGCACUGAUCACUGUGAGUGUCUGAUGGGUGGGCAUCCGGCGCCCAGAGAAGGAGUUGCUCUAUUAUCCUGGCACUCCAUAAAGAACAGGUAGAAAUAAGCGCUUCUUACCAAGAUGAAAUCCACCCAUCAUUUCUGAAUGGCUCAGUUUUGAUUUCAUCUCCCAAGGUCUUCUUUCUGAAACCAGCCCAACUUUUCUCCCAGAGAGUAUCAUGGAACUGAACUUUCAAGAUCAUGGCAUCUGGACAUCGAGAAAACAGAACCCUCAUCUGGCCACCUGCUGCUUUUUGACCAAUUCCCAUAUAAACCGCUAACUUCAGUCAGUUGGAGGGAUGGAUUUGAGAUUUGCCUUCUGUCUCUCAGGUGAUGUCACCAGCAAUAAAGCCUUCUUCCCUGGCAAUACU